AUGUAUAGACUAAAACAAAAGUAAUCCCUCUCAAUUAUCAGUUAUGACCCACUAGUAGUGUGUGUGGUGGUGUCUGUAUCUGCAGAGACCCUGCCCUCUGCCUGGAUUUUGCCUUUUCUUUUCAGGAACACU